UACGAGGGGGGCGAGCGUUGUUCGGAGUUACUGGGCGUAAAGGGUGUGUAGGCGGUUGGAUAAGUGUGGUGUGAAAUCUCCCGGCUCAACUGGGAGGGUGCGCUACAAACUGUCUGACUAGAGUGUGGGAUGGGUAAGUGGAAUUCCUGGUGUAGCGGUGAAAUGCGUAGAUAUCCGGAGGAACACCGAUGGCGAAGGCAACCGCCUGGGCCUGUACUGACGCUGAGACACGAAAGCGUGGGGAGCAAACAGG
rnacentral:rRNA from 1 species